rnacentral:rRNA from 1 species
UAGGGAAUAUUGGACAAUGGGCGAAAGCCUGAUCCAGCGACGCCGCGUGGAGGAUGAAGGCCUUCGGGUUGUAAACUCCUGUUGUGAGGAAAGAAGCCCGCAAGGGUGACGGUACCUCACCAGAAAGCCCCGGCUAACUACGUGCCAGCAGCCGCGGUAAGACGUAGGGGGCAAGCGUUAUCCGGAUUCACUGGGCGUAAAGGGCACGUAGGCGGUUACGUAAGUCCGGCGUGAAAACUCACGGCUCAACCGUGAAACGCCGUCGGAUACUGCGUUGACUAGAGGGCGGUAGAGGUACCUGGAACUAGCGGUGUAGCGGUGAAAUGCGCAGAUAUCGCUAGGAACGCCGGUGGCGAAGGCGAGGUACUGGGCCGUUCCUGACGCUGAGGCGCGAAAGCUAGGGGAGCGAA